rnacentral:rRNA from 1 species
UUAAGUUAUUAAGGGCGCACGGUGGAUGCCUUGGCACUAGAAGCCGAUGAAGGACGUUACUAACGACGAUAUGCUUUGGGGAGCUGUAAGUAAGCUUUGAUCCAGAGAUUUCCGAAUGGGGAAACCCAGCAUGAGUUAUGUCAUGUUAUCGAUAUGUGAAUACAUAGCAUAUCAGAAGGCACACCCGGAGAACUGAAACAUCUUAGUACCCGGAGGAAGAGAAAGAAAAUUCGAUUCCCUUAGUAGCGGCGAGCGAAACGGGAAGAGCCCAAACCAACAAGCUUGCUUGUUGGGGUUGUAGGACACUCUAUACGGAGUUACAAAGGACGACAUUAGACGAAUCAUCUGGAAAGAUGAAUCAAAGAAGGUAAUAAUCCUGUAGUCGAAAAUGUUGUCUCUCUUGAGUGGAUCCUGAGUACGACGGAGCACGUGAAAUUCCGUCGGAAUCUGGGAGGACCAUCUCCUAAGGCUAAAUACUCUCUAGUGACCGAUAGUGAACCAGUACCGUGAGGGAAAGGUGAAAAGCACCCCGGAAGGGGAGUGAAAUAGAACCUGAAACCGUGUGCUUACAAGUAGUCAGAGCCCGUUAAUGGGUGAUGGCGUGCCUUUUGUAGAAUGAACCGGCGAGUUACGAUUUGAUGCAAGGUUAAGCAGUAAAUGUGGAGCCGUAGCGAAAGCGAGUCUGAAUAGGGCGUUUAGUAUUUGGUCGUAGACCCGAAACCAGGUGAUCUACCCUUGGUCAGGUUGAAGUUCAGGUAACACUGAAUGGAGGACCGAACCGACUUACGUUGAAAAGUGAGCGGAUGAACUGAGGGUAGCGGAGAAAUUCCAAUCGAACCUGGAGAUAGCUGGUUCUCUCCGAAAUAGCUUUAGGGCUAGCCUCAAGUGAUGAUUAUUGGAGGUAGAGCACUGUUUGGACGAGGGGCCCCUCUCGGGUUACCGAAUUCAGACAAACUCCGAAUGCCAAUUAAUUUAACUUGGGAGUCAGAACAUGGGUGAUAAGGUCCGUGUUCGAAAGGGAAACAGCCCAGACCACCAGCUAAGGUCCCAAAAUAUAUGUUAAGUGGAAAAGGAUGUGGCGUUGCCCAGACAACUAGGAUGUUGGCUUAGAAGCAGCCAUCAUUUAAAGAGUGCGUAAUAGCUCACUAGUCGAGUGACACUGCGCCGAAAAUGUACCGGGGCUAAACAUAUUACCGAAGCUGUGGAUUGUCCUUUGGACAAUGGUAGGAGAGCGUUCUAAGGGCGUUGAAGCAUGAUCGUAAGGACAUGUGGAGCGCUUAGAAGUGAGAAUGCCGGUGUGAGUAGCGAAAGACGGGUGAGAAUCCCGUCCACCGAUUGACUAAGGUUUCCAGAGGAAGGCUCGUCCGCUCUGGGUUAGUCGGGUCCUAAGCUGAGGCCGACAGGCGUAGGCGAUGGAUAACAGGUUGAUAUUCCUGUACCACCUAUAAUCGUUUUAAUCGAUGGGGGGACGCAGUAGGAUAGGCGAAGCGUGCGAUUGGAUUGCACGUCUAAGCAGUAAGGCUGAGUAUUAGGCAAAUCCGGUACUCAUUAAGGCUGAGCUGUGAUGGGGAGAAGACAUUGUGUCUUCGAGUCGUUGAUUUCACACUGCCGAGAAAAGCCUCUAGAUAGAAAAUAGGUGCCCGUACCGCAAACCGACACAGGUAGUCAAGAUGAGAAUUCUAAGGUGAGCGAGCGAACUCUCGUUAAGGAACUCGGCAAAAUGACCCCGUAACUUCGGGAGAAGGGGUGCUCUUUAGGGUUAACGCCCAGAAGAGCCGCAGUGAAUAGGCCCAAGCGACUGUUUAUCAAAAACACAGGUCUCUGCUAAACCGUAAGGUGAUGUAUAGGGGCUGACGCCUGCCCGGUGCUGGAAGGUUAAGAGGAGUGGUUAGCUUCUGCGAAGCUACGAAUCGAAGCCCCAGUAAACGGCGGCCGUAACUAUAACGGUCCUAAGGUAGCGAAAUUCCUUGUCGGGUAAGUUCCGACCCGCACGAAAGGCGUAACGAUUUGGGCACUGUCUCAACGAGAGACUCGGUGAAAUCAUAGUACCUGUGAAGAUGCAGGUUACCCGCGACAGGACGGAAAGACCCCGUGGAGCUUUACUGUAGCCUGAUAUUGAAAUUCGGCACAGCUUGUACAGGAUAGGUAGGAGCCUUUGAAACGUGAGCGCUAGCUUACGUGGAGGCGCUGGUGGGAUACUACCCUAGCUGUGUUGGCUUUCUAACCCGCACCACUUAUCGUGGUGGGAGACAGUGUCAGGCGGGCAGUUUGACUGGGGCGGUCGCCUCCUAAAAGGUAACGGAGGCGCUCAAAGGUUCCCUCAGAAUGGUUGGAAAUCAUUCAUAGAGUGUAAAGGCAUAAGGGAGCUUGACUGCGAGACCUACAAGUCGAGCAGGGUCGAAAGACGGACUUAGUGAUCCGGUGGUUCCGCAUGGAAGGGCCAUCGCUCAACGGAUAAAAGCUACCCCGGGGAUAACAGGCUUAUCUCCCCCAAGAGUUCACAUCGACGGGGAGGUUUGGCACCUCGAUGUCGGCUCAUCGCAUCCUGGGGCUGUAGUCGGUCCCAAGGGUUGGGCUGUUCGCCCAUUAAAGCGGUACGCGAGCUGGGUUCAGAACGUCGUGAGACAGUUUGGUCCCUAUCCGUCGUGGGCGUAGGAAAUUUGAGAGGAGCUGUCCUUAGUACGAGAGGACCGGGAUGGACAUACCUCUGGUGUACCAGUUGUCGUGCCAACGGCAUAGCUGGGUAGCUAUGUGUGGACGGGAUAAGUGCUGAAAGCAUCUAAGCAUGAAGCCCCCCUCAAGAUGAGAUUUCCCAACUUCGGUUAUAAGAUCCCUCAAAGAUGAUGAGGUUAAUAGGUUCGAGGUGGAAGCAUGGUGACAUGUGGAGCUGACGAAUACUAAUCGAUCGAAGACUUAAUCAA